rnacentral:misc_RNA from 1 species
AAGUCGUAACAAGGUAACCGUAGGUGAACCUGCGGUUGGAUCAUUAAUGAAUUUUAGGGCGGAAGCUCUAUCAAGGUGUUAGGGAAAGCUUCGGCUGACUCUGCACCGAAACCUUGUGUGAACUGUUAAAUGUCUCUGGUGAGACGUCUACUUGUAGACCUUGCCAGAUUAUUACUAAACAUUUGUCUAUUCAUGGUUUAUUAAAUUAAAAAAUUGAAACAAUUUUUGACAACGGAUCUCUUGGCUCUC